AACCUCGAAUAAGCUACUUCCAUUUUCUGGCUCUUUAGUCUCCUCCUUUGUAAAAUGAAGGGGUUGGAGCCAGUAAGCUCCAGGGCUUUCGGCUGAGACAUCCUAUGCAUAAUCAGAGAAGGUAGAAAAGAACAGAAUGCCAUGGAAACUGAACAAGAGAGUUUCUAAAAGAAGGCUUUAAGAGGUCACUUGCAUCCAAUGCUGCAGAUGUGUCAGGGACUGAGGACUUAGGUGAAACCGCUGUGUUUGGCACUUUGCAGAGCCUCUCCAUGGGCUGCGGUCCCCAGCGAAGUUGUCACAGGUGCCCAGCACAGACGCCCAAGACCCCACAGAAAUGCCUGAAAACCCCCCAUCCUAACUGCGCCUCCCUGGACUGCUCCCUCGGCAAGGCCGGCUCUUGGGAGCCGGGCAGCUUAACCUUUGCUAGGAACUCGGAGCUGCCUGACGUUUAGAAAUUGAACGGAAACAGAGGCACAAGCCCUGCUGGCGUCUCUCCCUCACCCACCCCCAUCAUGUGAAAGGAAAAGCUGAAAGAACAGUGACGGGUUAAGCUCCUUAUAAGGAAGUGAACCUCCUCUCUCCUCCCGUACGGCCGUCGUUUGGAGCUUCUAUAUGUUUUAAGGUACACUGCACAAAACGAUCCCCGCCAGGAUUCGCCAAAACCAUUCCCCCAGGGGUGGGGGCCGACGAGGAGCCAAGGAAGAAAGGACGGGCGGGGCAGGGAGCAGGAAGGCGACUGAGCGAAGAAGCUGAGGGAUGAGUCAUCAAAAAGAAUCCGGGCAAGGGAGCGGAACUAGUCAUCGGAGCUGGGAAGGAGCCGAGCAUUCAUUAGCCGCGCGCGCUGUCAAUCACGUUGGCUCCGCAAAUGCCCUGAGAGCCUUCGGGGGCCUCCCGGACCGGAAAUCGCCUCUCGGUGGGCGGUCUAACGGCUUUGAAAUCGGAAAAGACCGAGCGCCGGCGGCCGGCAGGGGAGUCUGGUGCGGCACAGGCGGGCUUCUUGGAAACAUGGCGUUUGCCAUCAAGGUCACAUGGCCACCUUAGGGGACUAAAGGAAAUACCAGCUGAGAAUAACAGGCGCGGCCCCCGGAGCAUCCAGAUUUUCAGAAGCAGUCGCAAAUGCAGAUUUUCCCCCUAGUCGACUCCGAAGCAUGCUCGUGUUUGUCGGAAGACAUGUCCUAAAAUACAAAACAUCAAAAC